AGCUUUGCCUAGUGGCAGUAUCAUAGCCAAUGAGGUUUAACCGAGGUGUAUAUUAUUGCUAAUUGAAAAAUGAAACUAGAGUCUUACAAAUAGUUUAAGGUUUUUUUGUUUUUUAAUAAAA
ensembl:snRNA U4 U4 spliceosomal RNA